rnacentral:rRNA from 1 species
ACGAAGGGGGCUAGCGUUGCUCGGAAUUACUGGGCGUAAAGGGUGCGUAGGCGGUUCGUUAAGUCUGUCGUGAAAUCCCCGGGCUCAACCUGGGAAUGGCGAUGGAUACUGGCGAGCUAGAGUGUGUCAGAGGAUGGUGGAAUUCCCGGUGUAGCGGUGAAAUGCGUAGAGAUCGGGAGGAACAUCAGUGGCGAAGGCGGCCAUCUGGGACGUACCUGACGCUGAGACACGAAAGCGUGGGGAGCAAACAGGA